rnacentral:rRNA from 1 species
AGUGAACGCUGGCGGUAGGCCUAACACAUGCAAGUCGAACGGCAGCACAGUAAGAGCUUGCUCUUACGGGUGGCGAGUGGCGGACGGGUGAGGAAUACAUCGGAAUCUACUUUUUCGUGGGGGAUAACGUAGGGAAACUUACGCUAAUACCGCAUACGACCUACGGGUGAAAGCAGGGGAUCUUCGGACCUUGCGCGAAUGAAUGAGCCGAUGUCGGAUUAGCUAGUUGGCGGGGUAAAGGCCCACCAAGGCGACGAUCCGUAGCUGGUCUGAGAGGAUGAUCAGCCACACUGGAACUGAGACACGGUCCAGACUCCUACGGGAGGCAGCAGUGGGGAAUAUUGGACAAUGGGCGCAAGCCUGAUCCAGCCAUACCGCGUGGGUGAAGAAGGCCUUCGGGUUGUAAAGCCCUUUUGUUGGGAAAGAAAAGCAGCAGGUUAAUACGCCGCUGUUCUGACGGUACCCAAAGAAUAAGCACCGGCUAACUACGUG